rnacentral:rRNA from 1 species
CAGUAGCCACGGGAAUACGAAGGGUGCAAGCGUUACUCGGAAUUACUGGGCGUAAAGCGUGCGUAGGUGGUGGUUUAAGUCCGUCGUGAAAGCCCUGGGCUCAACCUGGGAAUUGCAGUGGAUACUGGGUCACUAGAGUGUGGUAGAGGAUAGUGGAAUUUCCGGUGUAGCAGUGAAAUGCGUAGAGAUCGGAAGGAACAUCUGUGGCGAAGGCGACUAUCUGGGCCAACACUGACACUGAGGCACGAAAGCGUGGGGAGCAAACAGGAUUAGAUACCCCGGUAGUCCCUGUCUCUUAUAU